ensembl:lncRNA
CUCCAUCCUGUUUUCUCACACAGCUUCCCUUUACGAUGACAGAGCUGAAGAAGCGGGCAGUUGUGGUUUGUUGACAGUCAGAAAAGCAGGUGCAGGUGCACAAACCAGUAAAAAUCAACCCCCAUGCCACAAAUGUACACUCUACUGUUGUUCCAUUUAAACCUUUAUUGAAAUUAUGAAAGAAAAUAUUUAACGUAUUAACUAAAAGAUUUAUAUUCACUUUGUAAAUACAGUAGUCAUUAAUAUAUUAACUGUUCUUAUAAAUAAAUAAUCUUAAAAGGUUAUAAUAUUUGGAUCAGAACCGAGGCUUCAGUCAGCCCCAAUGUUUGUUUCUUUUUCUUUUUUGCUUUCUUCAUGAAAACUAAUGUGAGAACUUGACUUUGUGUGGAUGUGGGGGAGUGGAACGCGUGGUUUACUGAGAUGCGAUGCAGGACAACGGCAAAAAAUAGGAAAAUAUUGCUUUGUUACACACUCCCCCUCCCUUCUUUAUGAACUGAUGGAAAUACUUUUUUGUGGAUUUCAUCAUAAUGGACUGUUUACUGUGUAAUGUAAGCUUUUUUCCUCCCUUCCUUCUCCUCUGAGCAAAAUUGAAAAUGCUUUUUGGAUAAAAUGAAAACUUUUCUUUUCUUUGCAUGGUUUACUGCCCCUUUACUUUUUGUAUCUGUGGGCCACUAUCAGUCUGUUUAAUGUACAAAAAAAGAACAAAAAAAAAAGAGAAAAAGAUUUCCCUGCACAUAACACACAGACUAUUGAGAUGGCUCAUAUGCAUGGAUAUUGAACGUGUGCAAGUUUUAUAUCACGAGUGGAUCAGCGGCUAGCUGAAUAUAAAGUCAGAGUCAGAUCAUGAAGAGUGUAACCUGUAGCCUAAUUUGUUUGGAAAGUGUAUGUGUGUGUCUGGGCAGGCCUCCAAUGUCUGACUGAAGCACAGCAGCUUUGAAAAGGGAAACGGGAGAAACUUGCUCAUGUAGCUCUGGAUGUGCGAUUGUGUCCUGAUUUAAGAUCAUAUAUUAUCCUCGUCAUUUCUCACUUAGAAUAUAAUCAGUAUUAGUUUUUAUUCACUUAAUUACCUCUUCAGCUGAAAAAUAUAUCAAUAUAUAUAUAUAUAUUAAUAAAUAUAUAUAAAUAUAUAUAUUAAUUCAACACACGAGCAGAUAUCUAAGGGAAGUCUGUACUUUCUGAGUAGUUUGCAUUUUAUACACAUGGGGGCGCUGUUUAGCUUUUUAAAACUACAUCACAAUGAUUUUUAAAAAACAAAGACUAAAUAAUAACGAGCGUGCUGGGCCUUUUUGCAUUUUGCUGUGUUAUGAGAACUUGGAUCUAGUUUGUACAGAGUUUUUACAGGUGUGAACUUUGCCCAACUGACUUAAAAAAAAAAAAAAAAAAAAGUGGCGGGAGCUGUGUUUUAUUUACCACAUGAACAGAUUUGAAUGCAAGAUUUGCAUAACCAUUCGCCUAUGUGACGAGAACUUGUAAAUGGCUACAAGUUGACCUUUGAAGUGUUUGAAGGUGGUUUGAUUUGUAGUUGGGCGUGUGAUUUCUUUGUUUUCUCUUUUCUUUUCUUCAGGCAGUAAUUAGUCUUUUAAGUAGAGCUGAUCACACUGAUGGCCGGUCACUAAAAAGAAUACCCUGAUUUCGUUGAUACACAUCCUGUUAUAAAUGGAAAAAAGACAAACCUUUUUUUCCCCCUUGAUGCUGUUCUGAAACAUAAAACACAGUGUCUGUGUAUGACCAUUGCAUACUAUGUUGCCAAUACUACAGUGUGAUGAGACUUUUGUUCUUGCAUGAAUUGAGACACUGUUCUCCUACCUCAUGUUGUGAUAUAUAUAUAAAAAAGAUGUUUUUUAAGCAGAAGACACUGCAUCUCUGUUUAUCAUCAUAGAUAUUUACUAGAAAGAUUACAUACCUGUAAAUGCUUUUAGCUAAUACCUCAGUUGUAUCUAGUGUUUGUUUGUUUUUUUUUCUGUUUUUGCCCUUUCCUGAUUUCAGAUCUUGUAAAUAAAACCCUGUAUAGACAAUGAACUUGGAUCAAAUUCAAGUAAAGUUCUGUAGUGUCA